rnacentral:lncRNA from 1 species
GCUACUCAGGAGGCUGAAGCAGGAGAAUUGCUUGAACCCAGGAGAUGGAGGCUGCAGUGAGCCGAGAGAUCACUCCACUGUACUCCAGCCUGGGAGCCCUGGAAUUACAGCAACGUAAGACAAAGUCCUUGUGGAAUCUGUCUUCUAGGAUAGCUCUAGUUUCACUAUUUGUAAAAUGGGGUAAUUAAAAUAUAUGCAUAAUUGAAUUGUGAAGAAUAAAUAAAAUCAUUCAUGUAAUGAGCUUAGCCCAGUGAAGAUACAUCAUAAUUUAAUGUGUCAGCUAUUAUGUAAAGAUCAUGAACAGUGAGAAGCUGGUCCAACUCUUGACUCAAUGACAGUGCUCUGAGAUAAGGAGGGAGAUAUAGGACGGGGGAGGCCUGCAGCCUAGGAAGCACACUUUUUCCAGAUCUGGGAUCAAAGCACAAAGCUGGAAGAUAAUGAUCUCAAUGAGGACAUUGGCAAGGCCUCCCAAAAAGCAGAGCCUAGAGGACACACAUCAACACCAAUUACUUGUUCCGCAUGUGCUUCUCUGCUCUGAUUGCCCAGAGCUGUGGCCAAGGAUUCCACAUUGCAUAGCAAAAAACAAACAAACAAAAAACAAACGGUGAGGACUAAAGGCAAUGUAACACAAGUCGGAGUGUGUGGAGAGCAUUGCUGUUUUUAAAUUUUGGUUUUCUUAAAUGGCUCACUGUCUUAGAUGCCUAUCUUAAAUUCCCACACCUUAACAUGUGGUAUUAACUCCAACAGAAAACAUGCAACCAGCCAAAAGCCAACAUAGUUUAAGAAAUUUAAUAUUUUAUAUGCAUCACAUUUUAGAAAACUGUUUUUUUUUUUUUUUAUUUUUGUGGAGGAAUGGGGUAACCACCACUGGACAUUUUACUUUGCCUCAGGGAUACAGUUCUGAAACUUGGAGUUUAUACCAUAACUUGGCUAAUCUGCUCAGAUUCAGCAUCUGUAACUCC